rnacentral:tRNA from 1 species
GUUUUAAUAGUUUAAGAAAAAAUAUCGGUCUUGUAAACCGAUGUUGAGAACAUUCUCUUAAAACU